rnacentral:rRNA from 1 species
UUGAUUAUUUAUGAGUGUUGCUUUGGCGGGCCUCGCGGCCUGGCCGCGCCCCGGCUUCGGCGGGGGAGCGCCCGCCAGAGGAUUCUACAAACCUGAUUAUUAGUGUCGUCUGAGUACUAUAUAAUAGUUAAAACUUUCAACAACGGAUCUCUUGGUUCUGGCAUCGAUGAAGAACGCAGCGAAAUGCGAUAAGUAAUGUGAAUUGCAGAAUUCAGUGAAUCAUCGAAUCUUUGAACGCACAUUGCGCCCCGUGGUAUUCCGCGGGGCAUGCCUGUUCGAGCGUCAUUAUGACCAAUCCCGCUCGCGGGGUCUUGGGCACCGCCUCUGGGCGGGCCUCAAAAUCAGUGGCGGUACGGCCGGGCUCUGAGCGUAGUAAAUCUUCUCGCUACAGGGUCCCGGGCGGCACUGGCCAGCAACCCCCAAUCUUUUACAGGUUGACCUCGGAUCAGGUAGGGAUACCCGCUGAACUUAAGCAUAU